UCAUGUCCAGAGGCCUGUAGUAUCGAGAAAAGGAGCAAUCCUUCAGCAGCUGAAUCCUAACGGUCCUUGUCAUCAGUGACAUACUGAUAAGAUGAUACAAAGGAAGAAGAACUGUAGAGCCUGUAAUCGCAGCUUCACACUCCGGCUCCUGCUGACAAUCUCCACCUGCUCACCUGCCCUGCAUUCAACUAAUCAAGAAGCUGCAGUAUAUCAACCCCGGCUCUUCACCUCAUUCUCUGCCAGAUUGACCACGUGUAACUGGAACUCCUUUACUGUCUGCCCUGUCUGACCUGCCUGCCUUUUCCUGGUUGCCACGCUGCUCCACUGCCUACGCCCCAUCUGACUUUUCCCCAUGAAAGAUUAAAAUAAAC